AGUUCUCAACCUUGUGGCUUUUUACAAGCUAGUGAGGCUUGGAUUAUGGAGGUUGCUGGUUUUUUGCUCACUAGAAACUAGCUCUUCUUAAAUGCAUUAGCAAGAACCUUUGCUGAUCAUCUUUCGGUAUGAUAAUUAUCUAUACCAGUAGAGUGAAUCGGUGUCCUUUUAAUUAGGACGGUUUUGCUUAUAAUAGUCUGAUUUAGACAACUUAUUGACU
rnacentral:misc_RNA from 1 species